CCUACGGGAGGCAGCAGUAGGGAAUAUUGCGCAAUGGGGGAAACCCUGACGCAGCAACGCCGCGUGAAGGAUGAAGGUUUUCGGAUUGUAAACCCCUUUUAGCAGAGAAGAAAAGGAAGUGAUCUAACGAAUAAGCACUGGCUAACUCCGUGCCAGCAGCCGCGGUAAUACGGAGGGUGCGAGAGUGAGGCGGAAUCACUGGGCGUAACGAGCACGUAGGCGGGAUGGCAAGUCACAGGUGAAAUCCGAUGGCUUAACCAUAGAAAUGCAUUUGAAACUGUCAUUCUGGAGUAUGGGAGAGGUAGGUGGAAUUCUUGGUGUAGGGGUGAAAUCCGUAGAGAUCUGGAGGAAUAUCAAUUGCGAAGGCGACCUUCUGGAACAUAACUGACGCUGAUGAGCGAAAGCGUGGGGAGCAAACAGGAUUAGAUACCCGAGUAGUC
rnacentral:rRNA from 1 species